CGGCCGCGGUAUCCUAACCGUGCAAAGGUAGCGUAAUCACUUGUCUCUUAAAUAGGGACUUGUAUGAAUGGCUAAAUGAAGAUAACACUGUCUCCUUUAAUUAACCAGUGAAACUGAUCUCCAAGUACAAAAGCUUGGAUAAAAACACAAGACGAGAAGACCCUGUGGAGCUUAAAACAACACUAUUAUAGCUCUGUUUUAAGUUGGGGCAACUUCGGAGAAAACAAAAACCUCCGAGCAAGGAUCUAAUAUCCGGCCAACAAGCCAAAGAAACACUACUGACCCAGUCUAACUGAAUAACGGACCAAGUUACCCCAGGGAUAACAGCGCUAUCUUCUUCAAGAGUUCCCAUCGACAAGAAGGUUUACGACCUCGAUGUUGGAUCAGGACACCCAAAUGGUGCAGCAGCUAUUAACGGUUCG
rnacentral:rRNA from 1 species